rnacentral:misc_RNA from 1 species
GAUGAAGAACGUAGCGAAAUGCGAUACUUGGUGUGAAUUGCAGAAUCCCGUGAACCAUCGAGUCUUUGAACGCAAGUUGCGCCCGAAGCCUCGGCUAAGGGCACGUCUGCCUGGGCGUCACGCAUCGCGUCUCCCCCAAACCGCCAAGGCGGAGGGGAAGGAAGAUGGCUUCCCGUGCCUCACCCGGCGCGGUUGGCCUAAAUUUGGAGCCCGCGGCACUUAGCUCACGCGGCGAUAGGUGGUGAACAAGGCCUUGGCCGUGCAAACAACCCGCUGCGAAGCUCUAUGUCACGUGCGCUCGUCGGACCCUUUGAAGUUGCCUUCGGUGACUUAAAACCUUUGCGACCCCAGGUCAGGCGGGGCUACCCGCUGAAUUUAAGCAUAUCAAUAACGGAGGA